GCUUGUCUCAAAGAUUAAGCCAUGCAUGUCUAAGUGUAAAUACGUCUACACUGUGAAACUGCGAAUGGCUCAUUAAAUCAGUUAUCGUUUAUUUGAUGAUCUCUUGUUACAUGGAUAACUGUGGUAAUUCUAGAGCUAAUACAUGCACCCAUGCCCGACUUUGUGGAAGGGUUGUGUUUAUUAGUUACAGAACCAACCCAGGCUCUGCCUGGUCUUGUGGUGAUUCAUAAUAACCGAACGAAUCGUAUGGCAUCAGCUGGCGAUGAAUCAUUCAAGUUUCUGACCUAUCAGCUUCCGACGGUAGGGUAUUGGCCUACCGUGGCAAUGACGGGUAACGGAGAAUUAGGGUUCGAUUCCGGAGAGGGAGCCUGAGAAACGGCUACCACAUCUAAGGAAGGCAGCAGG
rnacentral:rRNA from 1 species